GAUGAACGCUAGCGGCAGGCUUAACACAUGCAAGUCGAGGGGCAGCGCGGGAUAGCAAUAUCCUGGCGGCGACCGGCGGAAGGGUGCGUAACGCGUGAGCGACAUGCCCGUUGCCCGGGGACAACCGGUGGAAACGCCGACUAAUCCCCGAUGGGAUAUUGUGCCGCAUGGCACGAUAUUGAAAGUUACGGCGGCGACGGAUUGGCUCGCGUCCGAUUAGCUGGUUGGCGGGGUAACGGCCCACCAAGGCUGCGAUCGGUAGGGGUUCUGAGAGGAAGGCCCCCCACAAUGGGACUGAGACACGGCCCAUACUCCUACGGGGGGCAGCAGUGAGGAAUAUUGGUCAAUGGGCGGAAGCCUGAACCAGCCAUGCCGCGUGCGGGAAGGAGGCCCUAUGGGCUGUGAACCGCUUUUGCCUGGGGGCAAUAAGGGCGUCGCGCACGUCCGAUGAGAGUACCAGGCGAAUAAGCAUCGGCUAACUCCGUG
rnacentral:rRNA from 1 species